rnacentral:rRNA from 1 species
AGAGUUUGAUCCUGGCUCAGGACGAACGCUGGCGGCGUGCUUUACACAUGCAAGUCGAACGGAGAAGCACCUUCGGGUGUGGAUCAGUGGCGAACGGGUGAGUAACACGUGGGUAACCUGCCCCUCACUUCGGGAUAACUCCGGGAAACCGGGGCUAACACUGGAUAUCACCAGACCGGGCAUCCGGACUGGUUGAAAGGGUUUACUGGUGAGGGAUGGACCCGCGGCCUAUCAGCUAGUUGGUGGGGUAAUGGCCUACCAAGGCGACGACGGGUAGCCGGCCUGAGAGGGCGACCGGCCACACUGGGACUGAGACACGGCCCAGACUCCUACGGGAGGCAGCAGUGGGGAAUAUUGCGCAAUGGACGAAAGUCUGACGCAGCAACGCCGCGUGAGGGAACGAAGGCCUUUGGGUUGUAAACCUCUUUCAGCAGGGACGAAGCGAAAGUGACGGUACCUGCAGAAGAAGCACCGGCUAACUACGUGCCAGCAGCCGCGGUAAUACGUAGGGUGCAGGCGUUGUCCGGAUUUAUUGGGCGUAAAGGGCUCGUAGGCGGUCUGUCGCGUCGGAAGUGAAAACCUGGAGCUUAACUCCAGGCCUGCUUUCGAUACGGGCAGACUAGAGUUCGGUAGGGGAGACUGGAAUUCCUGGUGUAGCGGUGGAAUGCGCAGAUAUCAGGAGGAACACCAAUGGCGAGGGCAGGUCUCUGGGCCGACACUGACGCUGAGGAGCGAAAGCGUGGGUAGCAAACAGGAUUAGAUACCCUGGUAGUCCACGCCGUAAACGGUGGGCGCUAGGUGUGGGGAACAAUCUACGUUUUCCGCGCCGCAGCUAACGCAUUAAGCGCCCCGCCUGGGGAGUACGGCCGCAAGGCUAAAACUCAAAGGAAUUGACGGGGGCCCGCACAAGCGGCGGAGCAUGCGGCUUAAUUCGAUGCAACGCGAAGAACCUUACCUAGGCUUGACAUAUGACCAGAGCAUGCAGAGAUGUAUGUGCAUUUAGUUGGGGUCAUACAGGUGGUGCAUGGCUGUCGUCAGCUCGUGUCUUGAGAUGUUGGGUUAAGUCCCGCAACGAGCGCAACCCUCGUCCUAUGUUGCCAGCGGGUAAUGCCGGGGACUCAUAGGAGACCGCCGGGGUCAACUCGGAGGAAGGUGGGGACGACGUCAAGUCAUCAUGCCCCUUAUGUCUAGGGCUGCACGCAUGCUACAAUGGCCGGUACAAAGGGCUGCAAAAUCGUAAGAUUAAGCGAAUCCCAUAAAGCCGGUCUCAGUUCGGAUUGGGGUCUGCAACUCGACCCCAUGAAGUCGGAGUCGCUAGUAAUCGCAGAUCAGCAACGCUGCGGUGAAUACGUUCCCGGGCCUUGUACACACCGCCCGUCACGUCACGAAAGUCGGUAACACCCGAAGCCGGUGGCCUAACCUU